UCUUACUGAAUUAGAAAACGG
rnacentral:piRNA from 1 species